GAUGAACGCUAGCGACAGGCAUAACACAUGCAAGUCGAGGGGCAUCGGGGCGUAGCAAUACGCUGCCGGCGACCGGCGGAUGGGUGAGUAACGCGUAUGCAACCUGCCUUCAGCAGGGGGAUAGCCCGUUGAAAGACGGAUUAAUACCCCGUAACACAGGGGCUCCGCAUGGAGAUUAUUGUUAAAGGGAUACUUCCUUCGGGGGUAUUCCGGCUGAAGAUGGGCAUGCGUUCCAUUAGGUAGUUGGUUGAGGUAACGGCUCACCAAGCCUACGAUGGAUAGGGGAACUGAGAGGUUGGUCCCCCACACUGGUACUGAGACACGGACCAGACUCCUACGGGGGGCAGCAGUGGGAAUAUUGCACAAUGGGCGAAAGCCUGAUGCAGCGACGCCGCGUGGGCGAAGAAGGCCUUCGGUUGUAAGCCCUGUCUGGAGGGACGAAGUAAUGACGGUACCUCCGGAGGAAGCCGACGGCGUAACUACGUGCCAGCAGCCGCGGUAAUCAUACUCG
rnacentral:rRNA from 1 species